AGUCAGCUGAUAUAAAUUUAAAAUUUCAGAACCCUUGCACACAUGAACUUUACAGACACUCCCUCUGAUUCUGUUUCUCCAGUCUGUUGGUUUGGGGAGAUUUCCAUCUUCUGUUGCCACAUUUACAUGCCACUGAAGACUUGAGAGAUCCCCAAUUCUCCACUGCAGAGAGCCUCCUUGCUUGCAGUAUUUCCUCUAGUUCAAAGCAGCCAUAACAUCAGUAAUAAUCACCUUAGUGAAAGGAAAUCCACCCACAUGAGCAGCUGCCAGAGAGGCACCAAGGAUACCCUGUGCCUUUGGCGGAUGUGGCCACCGGCCGCUCCCCCAGAAAUGCAUGGCCACCAGCUGUGCUGGUAAAUCAGGACAGCAGACUGGCUCAAAAUCAGGAGGAAAAAGAGUGAAAAAUACUAAAAAUAGCAUAGAGUUUCUAUUUCUAGAUUGCAGUCCAUGCCCUUCUUUGUGCUGUAGGCUACUUCUCCAUGGGCUUAAAGCAGCUAAAGCGUGGCUGUUGUUACAACAAGAAAUGCAGAACUACGAUUUUUCUGAACAUCUAAUAUUUUUAUAUCUACUAUUUGACCACCUAUAGCGACAAAGGUACAGAAAAUGCUGAUACACUCCAUCACAAACUUGAAAAUUUACUUAUAGAAAAACCUUCCAUCAAGACCUUGGCAAAAUCCAGGAAGUUUUGCUGAAAAACACCACCAGAAGUAUUCACCGGCCUCAAGGUCACAGCUUCAAAUUUUCUUCCACGAAGGUCAACAUUUCAACUAGACCUUUGAAGUUACUUAACUCCAGAUCCAAUGCCUGGGAAGCUGCACACACCACACCUUCCCCCCACCCUCGCCCCGUGAAAGUAAAUUCAUGCUCUAGUAAAUUGAAAGGUGAGAAGUUAUAAUAAAAGUAAACACAGAAUUCAUGCACAAAUUAACUCUUUGCCCUGGAGUAAAGCAGAGGACAAACCACAGAAAUUGAGAGACAUCAGAUAUAAAUGACUAGCAAAAGUUUUCAAAGCUAUCCUCUGUCAAACUCAUAAAAAACUAGACAAGCUAUACUGCUGGAAAGAACACUCUUUAAACCUUGAGAAUUAGGAAUAAUAUUUCUUAUGGUUCAUAAAUACUUCUUGGGCUUUUUUCAAAACUCUCUGAGACAAAGUGUUUUCAUCCUGGCCAGGACAACUGGAUCAGGCCAGUUCCUUAUGGAAAAUCCUACUGUCCAAUUUUCGUUUGGCUUUGUGCAUUUCAGUAAGUUGUGUAAAUGGAAAUAAGUUGAUUAGAGGGAAGGAGAACCUCUCCUAUGAGGAAAGGCUGAGAGAAUUGGGGUUGGUCAGCCUGGGAAAGAGAAGCUUUGGGGAGACCUAAUUGCAGCCUCCCAGUACAUGAAGGAAGCCGACAAGGAAGAUGGAGAGAGACAUUUUACAAGAGCAUGUAGUGACAGGACAGGGGGGAAUGGAUUCAGACUGAAAGACAGUAGGUUUAGAUUAGAUACUAGGAAGAAACUCUUUACUGUGAGGGUGGUGAGGCACUGGAAUGGGUUGCCCAGAGAAGUAGUGGAUGUCCCAACCCUGGAAGUGUUCAAGGCCAGGAUGGAUAAGGCUCUGAGCAACCUGGUCUAGUGAAAGGUGUCCAUGACCCUGGCAAGGAGCUGGAACUAGAUUAUUUUUGAGGUCCCUUCCAACUUCUAUGAUUCAGAACCAACUCAGAAGAAAAAGCACUACUACUAACUUAGUUUAUUAAUCUAAGUAUAAAUCCCACUAGGGAUAUAUAAGUGUACAUAAGCUCUGUGAAACAGAGAUUUUACACUAAAUUCUGCAAGUACCAUUUGGAAUAUUAGCCUGAAAAGGCAAGAUGCUUCACUGAAGGAAGCCAGUGCCAACGUAGGGCCAGAAGAUCUGAUAUCUCAAAGAAAUGUAAGGAGGUCCAAUUUUCAAAUCUUCUCCAUUUCUUCAGUUCCUUGAUGUACACAGAGGAUCACUGUAAAAAUCAGCUGCUUUGCCAACAAAGAGCAAACACUCCUCAGCCAACUGGCAUAGUCUACAGAGCCCAUGCUGUCCUUGGUCCUAGUGCCUCGACCUCUUAUUUAUUAUUGCCUGCAAUGUAAUCAAGACAGGUAUCCAUCAACUUCUUAUGACUCAGAGGCAGAAACAGCUCUGUAUUUUUGGAACUCUUACGACACCAUGAGAACAGUCACGCUCGUUCAGACCAAAAGCCUGUCUGGCCUAGUGCUUUGUCUCCAGUGAUGUUCAGUGCAACACAAGCUACACAGUGAUCAGUCUCCUGCUCUCUUCCAGUAAUCAGUAAGCCCAAGAGUUUAUGAAACACAGACUGGAUAGGAACUACGAUGUUGAAGAUUUAUCUGAUUUCUCUUCAAAUAAUUUUUCUAUAAUUUUUCAGUGAAUGCUCUGACAUUACAAAAAAAAAAGACAAACAAAA